rnacentral:rRNA from 1 species
GCACGGGUGAGUAAUACGUAGAUAAUCUACCUUUGAAUUUGGGAUAACACUGCGAAAGUGAUGCUAAUACCGAAUAAUAUUGAUAAGACCUUGGUUUUGUUAAUCAAAGAUGGCCAAUUCUUGAAAGCUAUUGUUUGAAGAUGAGUCUACGCACCAUUAGCUUGUUGGUGGGGUAAAAGCCUACCAAGGCGACGAUGGUUAGCUGGUCUGAGAGGAUGAUCAGCCACACUGGAACUGACACACGGUCCAGACUCC